rnacentral:rRNA from 1 species
UAGGGAAUAUUGCUCAAUGGGGGAAACCCUGAAGCAGCAACGCCGCGUGAGUGAUGAAGGCCUUCGGGUCGUAAAGCUCUGUUGUACGGGAAAAAUGAGAGUGCAGUUAACAUCUGCAUUCAGUGAUGGUACCGUAUAAGAAAGGACCGGCUAACUUCGUGCCAGCAGCCGCGGUAAGACGGGGGGUCCUAGCGUUGUUCGGAAUCAUUGGGCGUAAAGCGUGUGCAGGUGGUUUGGUAAGUUGGAUGUGAAAGCCUUGGGCUUAACCCAAGAAGGGCAUUCAAAACUACCAAACUUGAGUAGGGAAGAGGGUCGUGGAAUUCCAGGUGUAGUGGUGAAAUACGUAGAUAUCUGGAGGAACACCGGUGGCGAAGGCGGCGACCUGGUCCUAUACUGACACUCAUACACGAAAGCGUGGGGAUCAAACAG